rnacentral:rRNA from 1 species
UACGUAGGUGGCAAGCGUUGUCCGGAUUUACUGGGCGUAAAGGGCGUGCAGGCGGUUUGUUAAGUCUAGGGUGAAAGCUCCCGGCUCAACUGGGAGAGGUCCUUGGAUACUGGCGAACUUGAGGGAUGCAGAGGAAAGUGGAAUUCCCGGUGUAGUGGUGAUAUGCGUAGAUAUCGGGAGGAACACCAGUGGCGAAGGCGGCUUUCUGGGCAUUUCCUGACGCUGAGACGCGAAAGCCAGGGGAGCAAACGGG